CACAGCUCCUCUACUGUGUAUUAUAGAAACCCCAAUUGUUAUGGUUGAGCCUUCUGGCUCCGAUACUAGGAGACUCCUCGAGAGUCAGACUCUUUUGAGGAGCGUGAAAGGAAACGGCUCCGGGACUUAUUUGCAGAACCAACAGAUGAGGACUCAUUUGAGGGUUUUACCGAGGGAAUGGAGGAAGAAAUGGUCAGCUCGGAGGAGGAUGACAUGGAGUGGACUCGUGUGAGGGAGGAUUUGGGUGUCACCGGCAAUGAAAGCAUGGGAGGCGAUUGGCGGGUUGCAGGAUCAGACCCAUGGACGGGCUGGAGAGAUGGAGCGGGAUCCACAGCUGGGGAUGCUGUGGGGCGUAGUCAAAGGUGUUUUAGCUCUGAUGAGGAUGAUGAUGAUGGGGCACCUGGGAUUAGGAUGGCAGCUGACAGCGAUGAUGAGUUUGAACUGGGAUAAAAUGGGGUUUAGGAUCAAUGUCUAAUUGCGUUGGGCAAGGUAAUCUGGACGAACGCUUGGGCUCUUGUUGGGGAACUUCCUGAAGACGGGUGUGACUCGUUGCUGGAUACCUUGGACCUCCGUCGUCUUUUUGACGGACAUUAAUUACCUACUCUGGAUUGACGCUGGACUGACUGACUUCGACCCCGGAUUAUCCCUUCUGUGGCUAUCGGUGGGACUUGUGGAAUUCUAGACGUCUGUGAAGAGCGGUGAGGCAGGGAGGAAUCUUUUUCUGAAUCCCACCACUGCCUCCAACUGAGGAGAACUGUGGUGAUGUGCGCGCGUAUGAGAGGGAGGAGUGGAGGAUGUGUGAAUGUAUGACAGGGAUGAUUUAGUGGAUAAGGAAGGAUAACGGAACUGAUUGGGUUUAAAUGAGUAAAGAUGGUAACUUAUAUAGGAAAGUACGGUAACUUAUAUAGAUAGGUACGGUAACUGCCACCAACGUGAGGUAACAGGCUUACAGAGAGGCAAGGAGACUUAUCUUUAUGAACAAUAACAAAAUUCAAGUUUAUUUUUGGUACAUAAGCGUAUGGUUUCAAUCAGUAAACGUUCCGGAUCUUAAGUUACAAUGUAGUCUUUCUUGAAUGGAUAUUUCUUAAAUAACUUCUCUUCAACACAGUAUACUAAACUCCCCUGGUCAGCUUAUAUUCCCAGCCUUUCCCCUGAGUGACCAUAAGCUGCCGUCCUUAGCUGAUUUCCACAGCUCCUAAUCUUUCCAAAACCUAACCGCAACUGUCCUUUUUAAACCCUCACAGCAACAGAACUUUUUAAAAGGGAAUAUGCUCCAACUGUCAUCUUAGCCACGCCCCCUUUUUCCUCCAGAGAGAGGUUACGUUGCCAUGGCAACCCGCUGAACACAGCUGGCUUCCAUGUGAGACCUGUCUUCAUCAAUACAUAACUCCCCUUUUUCCUUUUAAUAAACAAAUAAAAUCAUAUCAAUAAUUCCCAUUAACUCAUAACAUCCUUACAGUCUGCAUUUGGCUUUCGACCUUGGACCGGAUUGAGACCCUGCUGACCGCCGUUACCCUGAUUGAUGUGCCUGGACCCGGAUUUCGCUCGUUGCACGGAGGAGUAAACAGCCUGAUUUACUCAUCUGUAGCGUUUGAGUAGCAGAGAGGAUUCUGCUGCCAGUUUAUUGUGUUCAUUCUGACCUCUGUUAAUCCUCUUUUGUUUGCUAAAUCUGCCAGGCUGAAGUAAGCACUUUUGAUUUAAUCCGGAUUAAACUCCUGUUUAAUCCGGUUUAUCCUUUUGAACCGUUUUAGUUCAAACGGAGCUGUUUUUUGUUACUUUUCACACUGAAGUCAAGUGUUUGCCUAAUCCUUUGUUUCCUACGGGCAUUUUCAGUUUUGUAACUUCAAUAAACUGAGUUUUACUCUA